rnacentral:rRNA from 1 species
UUUAACAAAAACAUGUCCUUUAGAGUUGAAUUUAAGGUCGGGCCUGCCCCCUGAUAAUAAUUAAAGGGCCGCGGUAUUUUGACCGUGCAAAGGUAGCAUAAUCAUUAGUCUUUUAAUUGAAGGCUGGAAUGAAUGGUUUGACGAAACAUUAACUGUCUCUGUAUAAUAAAUGGAAUUUAACUUCUGAGUCAAAAGGCUUAGAUGAAUAUAAAAGACGAGAAGACCCUAUAGAUCUUUAUAUGAAGAUAUAUUCAUUUUGUUUAGUGGUAUUGUUUAUGAAUGUGUUAUUAUAUUUUGUUGGGGUGACAUGAAGAUAAACGUAACUCUUUAUAUUUAGAACAUUGAUUUAUGGAUAAUUGAUCCGUUAUUAACGAUUAUAAGAUAAAGUUACCUUAGGGAUAACAGCGUAAUUUUUUUUGAGAGUUCUUAUYGACAAAAAAGAUUGCGACCUCGA